AUUUGAAACCCUAGCUGUUCCAUGAUUUUUUCUUUUUCCAAGGAUUAUUCACAAAUGGUAAAACUUGCAAGAACAAAGGAAAAAAGUCCAACAGGGGUGUUGAUCAUGAUCAGAACAUUCUCCUGGGGAAUCCAAAGUUUAUCAGAAUGAUCCGAAACAGUACGUGACAUGUGAGAGAGUUGGUUGGCGGGGAUUUCUACUUUCACUUUUGAGGAUGCAGUAAACGGACGACAGGAGGGGAAGCUGCGCAUUUCCUCGUUGGAUGAUUUGUGUACAUGUGUGGACGUGGAUGUCAUUUCAUUUGGAUUUAAGAGGCUGAGCAAAGGCACAAAGAAAAUGUUUCCUGAGUAUAGAAUCUGAACAGAGGAUAUUGCAUCAUUCCUGAUCAGGCAAGUCUAGCUUGUUCAUUUAUUUCAUUUAUCAUUUCUUUUCUUUUCUUUCUUUUUUUUUUUUGAAUUAUUUUUUAUUCAUUUAUUGGUUUACAAUAUUAUAGAAGGUGAAAUGUACAUGUUUAACUCUUUCUGUGUAUGUGUAUUUGUUUUAUUUUUUUUUAUUGGGGGGGGGGGAGGUUAUCAGUUUGUGUAGAGUGUCAAUUUUGUGUAUUGCUUAAAGAUCAGUACCAGUGUCCUAAUGUUGAACAUUGGGCAGAUAUGUAAAUUGGUACUUGGUUGGUUCAUGCAGUCCUCCUUGACAUUGACAGAACUUUCCCAUGGAGACUCUUUCUCCAAGUUAUGCGUAGAUAAUCGGUCAUCUAUCUGUGUCUCGCAAGUACUUGAUGCAGACAGCUAUCAUGCUGAAUCCCGUGAAGGAAGGGGAUAUAUAGACUUCCUUUGGAAUGACGUACAUACUCAAUGUUGCGUCACUUGUGGAGACCCAUAUCUUGAAGAAUGACCUUGACUUUUGACCUUAACCCCAUUUUUAAGGUCAACUACUCAAUUCCUUGUGGAGGAGAAAGUGACUUUGACCUUGACCCACUUUCAAUGUCAUUCAAGGUCAACAAUCCUAGAAUAUCAUGUGACUACUCCUAAAGAUGUAGAUGGAGCUUUAUGAUAGAAAACAUCAUUUUUCGGCCCCUAUUUUCUCCCUUG